AAUCAACGCUGGCGGCGUGCCUCAGACAUGCAAGUCGAACGAUUAAAGCUCUCUUCGGAGAGUGUAUAGAGUGGCGCACGGGUGAGUAACACGUAAGUAAUCUACCUUCGAGUGGGGAAUAACGUCCGGAAACGGACGCUAAUACCGCAUAAUGCAGCGGCAUCGCAAGAUGACAGUUGUUAAAGAUUUAUCGCUUGAAGAGGAGCUUGCGGCAGAUUAGCUAGUUGGUAAGGUAACGGCUUACCAAGGCUACGAUCUGUAUCCGGUCUAAGAGGACGGUCGGACACACUGACACUGAAUAACGGGUCAGACUCCUACGGGAGGCAGCAGUCGGGAAUUUUGGGCAAUGGGCGAAAGCCUGACCCAGCAACGCCGCGUGAAGGAUGAAGUAUUUCGGUAUGUAAACUUACGAAAGAAUAGGAAGAAUUAAUGACGUA
rnacentral:rRNA from 1 species